rnacentral:misc_RNA from 1 species
CAACCGGCGAAUGGCGAAGAAGAGGAAGGCAGCGCCGGAGCCCGAGAAGAAGGAACCGGAGGCUGCGCCGCCCCGGCCGAAGCGCACGCUCCUAGGGUGGAAGGAUGCGGUGCCUGAGAAGCAGAUCGAGUCGCCGUUCUUCAGGAACAAGGAGAAGGUGCUCGUCACUUGCUCUCGCCGAAUCACGUACAGGUAUCGGCAUCUGAUGCUCAAUGUAGUCUCGCUGCUGCCGCACUCGAAGAAGGACAGCAAGAUCGAGUCGAAGGAGAGCAAGGGGUCGACCUUGAACGAGCUGAUUGAGCUGAGGAACUGUUCGUCUUGUCUGUUCUUUGAAUGCAGG